AACGGAAGGAAGAAAACAAACAGGGAUUGCCCUAGUAACGGCGAGUGAAGCGGCAACAGCUCAAAUUUGAAAUCUGGCUCCUUCAGGGUCCGAAUUGUAAUUUGCAGAGGAUGCUUUGGGAUUGGUCCCCAUCUAAGUGCCCUGGAACGGGACGUCACAGAGGGUGAGAAUCCCGUACGGGAUGGGGUGUCCUCGCCCGGGUGAACCUCCUUCAACAAUCCAAUUUGUUGGGAAUGGCACUUUUAAUGGGGUGGUCAUUUUCUCCUAAGGUUAAUUUUGGGCCGAAAACCGUUGCCGCACAAUUAAAUGGUUCAAAAAAUGAAAACCCCUUUGAAAAAAAAUUUAACAACCACUUGAAAUUGUUAAAAGGAAACCCCUGGCGACCAAACUGCUUACCGGGGUUCAUCCGGGUUUCUUCCCGGUGUACUCCCCCGCGGGCGGGCCAGCAUCAGUUUGGGCGGUCGGACAAAGGUCCCCGUCACGUACCUCCCUUCGGGGAGGCUUUAUACGGAAGACGACAUGCUACCUGCCUGGACUGAGGACGCGCUUCUGCUAGGACGCUGGCGUAAUGGUCUGUAAACGGCCGUCUUGAACACGACCAAGAGUCUAACAUCUAUGCGAGUGUUUGGUGUCAAGCCGAGCGCGUAUGAAGUGAACGGAGGUGGAACCCGCAGGUGCACAUCGACGAUCCUGAGUCUCGAAGAUUGAGUAAGCUGCUGUGGACCGAGAUGUCACAUGCUGAUCGCGAGCAAGGAACCUGUGAGCUCACGGUCUACAGCAAUCGACGUCAAUCGGUAUGGCGAGACUAUCGACAUAGUACUGUCUGCAAUACACCGAAGAAAAGACC
rnacentral:rRNA from 1 species